rnacentral:rRNA from 1 species
GCACGGAGUUAGCCGAUCCUUAUUCUUACAGUACCGUCAAGCUGGUUCACGAACCAGUGUUUCUUCCUGUACAAAAGCAGUUUACAAUCCAUAGGACCGUCAUCCUGCACGCGGCAUGGCUGGAUCAGGCUUGCGCCCAUUGUCCAAUAUUCCUCA